rnacentral:rRNA from 1 species
GACGAACGCUGGCGGCGUGCCUAAUACAUGCAAGUAGAACGCACAGUUUAUACCGUAGCUUGCUACACCAUAAACUGUGAGUUGCGAACGGGUGAGUAACGCGUAGGUAACCUGCCUGGUAGCGGGGGAUAACUAUUGGAAACGAUAGCUAAUACCGCAUAAUAUUGAUUAUUGCAUGAUAAUUGAUUGAAAGAUGCUAUUGCAUCACUACCAGAUGGACCUGCGUUGUAUUAGCUAGUAGGUGAGGUAACGGCUCACCUAGGCGACGAUACAUAGCCGACCUGAGAGGGGGAUCGGCCACACUGGGAAUGGGACACGGCCCAGGCUCCUACGGGAGGCAGCAGGAGGGAAUCUUCGGCAAUGGACGAAAGGCUGACCGAGCAACGCCGCGGGAGGGAAGAAGGUUUUCGGAUCGUAAAGCUCUGCUGUAAGAGAAGAACGGGUGUGAGAGUGGAAAGUUCACACUGUGACGGUAUCUUACCAGAAAGGGACGGCUAACUACGUG